rnacentral:rRNA from 1 species
UACGGAGGGAGCUAGCGUUGUUCGGAAUUACUGGGCGUAAAGCGCGCGUAGGCGGCUUUGUAAGUUAGAGGUGAAAGCCCGGGGCUCAACCCCGGAACUGCCUUUAAGACUGCAUCGCUUGAAUCCGGGAGAGGUGAGUGGAAUUCCGAGUGUAGAGGUGAAAUUCGUAGAUAUUCGCAAGAACACCAGUGGCGAAGGCGGCUUACUGGUCCGGUUCUGACGCUGAGGCGCGAAAGCGUGGGGAGCAAACAGG